rnacentral:rRNA from 1 species
UUCGAAGUAUGACAGCAGAGCUUAGCUCUCGGGUGACGAGUGGCGGACGGGUGAGUAAUGUCUGGGAAACUGCCUGAUGGAGGGGGAUAACUACUGGAAACGGUAGCUAAUACCGCAUAACGUCGCAAGACCAAAGAGGGGGACCUUCGGGCCUCUUGCCAUCAGAUGUGCCCAGAUGGGAUUAGCUAGUAGGUGGGGUAACGGGCUCACCUAGGCGACGAUCCCUAGCUGGUCUGAGAGGAUGACCAGCCACACUGGAACUGAGACACGGUCCAGACUCCUACGGGAGGCAGCAGUGGGGAAUAUUGCACAAUGGGCGCAAGCCUGAUGCAGCCAUGCCGCGUGUAUGAAGAAGGGCUUCGGGUUGUAAAGUACUUUCAGCGGGGAGGAAGGUGUUGUGGUUAAUAACCGCAGCAAUUGACGUUACCCGCAGAAGAAGCACCGGCUAACUCCGUGGCAGCAGCCGCGGUAAUACGGAGGGUGCGAGCGUUAAUCGGAAUUACUGGGCGUAAAGCGCACGCAGGCGGUCUGUCAAGUCGGAUGUGAAAUCCCCGGGCUCAACCUGGGAACUGCAUUCGAAACUGGCAGGCUAGAGUCUUGUAGAGGGGGGUAGAAUUCCAGGUGUAGCGGUGAAAUGCGUAGAGAUCUGGAGGAAUACCGGUGGCGAAGGCGGCCCCCUGGACAAAGACUGACGCUCAGGUGCGAAAGCGUGGGGAGCAAACAGGAUUAGAUACCCUGGUAGUCCACGCCCGUAACGAUGUCGACUUGGAGGUUGUGCCCUUGAGGGCGUGGGCUUCC